rnacentral:lncRNA from 1 species
UGGAGAUGGUGUUAUCAACUAUGGAGAAUUUAAGGUGAUUAUGGAGAAGUCGGCAGAGGAGUUGAUCGAAGAUAUCGAUGUCAAAGAACCCACUCCCAACUGAAAUAGAAUUUAAGUAAAUAUGUAAUUAUAAAUGUUUUUUGAACCUCAAAUUAUUUUACCUUCUGUAAAUAUGUUCUUGGUUUCCUCUUCGAAUCUCAUGCUCUUCUGAUAGGUUAAUUUUAAUCAGGACACUGAAGAAACAUAUGUAAAAAAACAAUUGUCCAAUGUUGAAUCUGAGAGGAGACCAUUAAUUUCAACAGGGUUUCUGAGGAAUAAGUUGUCGCUGCUGGAGAUCAAUUGUAAAAGAAGAAACUUGAAACCGAACUGGGUUUUCGCUUCUUGUGGCGGAACAAAAGUGGGGGAAUUUCCCCCAAUAAAAGUCCUCUCGUGAGAUAUUUGAUCUUGGUUGUCUGUCUUCUCGAGAUGUGAUAUAUAAAAAAAACUGAUAAUCCUAAAAC